rnacentral:tRNA from 1 species
CAAAGUAUAGCUUAACUUAAAGCACUUCGCUUACACCGAAAAUAUAUUUGUUAAAAUCAAAUUUCUUUGA